AAUAACAAAUUAACUGUAAGCAUUUACACCUACAAAGGUUCCAAAAUAAUAGAGACAUUUCAGAUGUCAUAUUGUGUAUAUUUACAGUGUUGUAAUUUACAGUGUUGUACUUGAAUAUUUCAAGUACAAAAGGGAAAAUAAAUAAACAUAGGUUGCGCCACCCUCCUUAACCUGGACGACGCUAGGCCAAUUGAGCGUCGACACAUGGACCUCCGGGGCGCGCCGGCUGCGACAGAGCCUGGGCUCGAACCCAGAGUCUCUGGUGGCACAGCUAGCACUGCGAUGUGGUGUCCUAGACUUACUGCGCCACCCGGGUCCCGGUAUUUGCAAAAUUCUGCAUUCAUGCACAUUCUCAAUUUGGUGUAUGUCCCAUUUUGUGAAUUCUUGGUUGGGGAGCGGACUCCAGACCUCAUAACCAUAAAGGGCAAUGGGUUCAGAUCCUAAUUGGUAAAAAAAUUCAAUGGCUGCCCAAUUUCUGGAAGAUCGUAAAUCUACCAUCUCUGAUUUGCACCAGACUGCUGCUCACGGACAGAAGAGAUGGACUUCAACCAUCAAUAGCCCGUAUCCUAUCAAGCGUCUUUGGAGGGAAGGUGGUAUCACAUCACCAAGGAGCAGCUUGAGGUGCUCAGUUUGUCAUAUGACCGUCAGACAAAUGGCAGAUGCUCUCAAUGUGUCGCACUCUGUGGUCAAGAAUAAAGCAAUUGUAACACAAGAGGGAGAUCUCUACAUCCUCUCUAGAUUUGAUCACAUUCCUGAUUGAUAUAUCUUUUUUGUGUUGAGUCAUUUUCAGCUUUUCAGGUCCUACUCACUGUUGUCAGACGCUCAGCUGGAUGAGAGGAUCAAAGGGCUGAUACAAUAAAAACAGAAUGGCGUCCCUAUAAGAGACCAAAAAAAAGUUUUUGUAAAACAAACAUAUCUUGUUUUUUAGGUGGAGGAUUGUUAUCCAUGGUGCUGUGGAUGGUUACAGCAGACUUGUUGGGUUUCUGAAGGCCUCUGACAACAACAGGAGUGCCACAGUCAUGGAUGUCAUUCGAAGCAGCCAUCACCAGCUACGGAGUACCAUCCCGGGUGAGAUGUGACCCGGGUGGUGAAAACAAUCGUAUCUGUGCCUUCAUGGAGCAAUUCAGGGGUGGUGAGAGGGGAAGUGCCCUCAGAGGAAGGAGCACACAACCAGAGGAUAGAU